rnacentral:lncRNA from 13 species
AUGAAGGCCGCUUAUACAAUUUUUUUAAACAUUUUACACAAUACAUUGACAGAUUUCACAACACACUGUGUGCCCUCAGGCCCCUACUCUACCACCACCNNNNNNNNNNACUCACCAGAAACCACAGGCAUGGUUACUCACCAGGUUACUCUCCAAACCACAGGCACGGUUACUCACCAGUUUACUCACCAAACCACAGGCACGGUUACUCACCAAACCACAGGCACGGUUACUCACCAAACCACAGGCACGGUUACUCACCAAACCACAGGCAUGGUUACUCACCAGGUGGCUCACCAAACCACAGGCAUGGUUACUCAUUAGGUGACUCACCAAACCAUAGGCAUGGU